ACGAACGCUGGCGGCGUGCUUAACCCAUGCCAGUCGAACGCGCCUGUCCUCUGGGUUUCUGGGGGGUGGGUGAGUGGCGAACGGGUGAGUAACACGUGAGUAACCUGCCCCCUUCUUCGGGAUAACGGUCUGAAAGGGCUGCUAAUACCGGGUAUUCACUGGUCUCCGCAUGGGGUCUGGUGGAAAGGUUUUUUUCUGGUGGGGAUGGGCUCGCGGCCUAUCAGCUUGUUGGUGGGGUGAUGGCCCACCAAGGCUUUGACGGGUAGCCGGCCUGAGAGGGUGACCGGUCACAUUGGGACUGAGAUACGGCCCAGACUCCUACGGGAGGCAGCAGUGGGGAAUAUUGCACAAUGGGCGCAAGCCUGAUGCAGCGACGCCGCGUGAGGGAUGGAGGCCUUCGGGUUGUGAACCUCUUUCGCCCGUGGUCAAGCCGCGACGUGGGUCGUGGUGAGGGUAGUGGGUAAAGAAGCGCCGGCUAACUACGUG
rnacentral:rRNA from 1 species